rnacentral:rRNA from 1 species
GAGUGAAGAGGGAAAAGCUCAAAUUUGAAAUCUGGCGGCAACAGUCGUCCGAGUUGUAAUGUAGAGAAGUGUUUUCCGCGCUGGACCGUGUACAAGUCCUUUGGAAUAAGGCAUCAUAGAGGGUGAGAAUCCCGUCUAGGACACGGACUACCAGUGCUCUGUGAUACACUCUCAACGAGUCGAGUUGUUUGGGAAUGCAGCUCAAAAUGGGUGGUAAAUUCCAUCUAAAGCUAAAUACAGGCGAAAGACCGAUAGCGAACAAGUACCGUGAGGGAAAGAUGAAAAGAACUUUGAAAAGAGAGUUAAACAGUACGUGAAAUUGUUGAAAGGGAAACGCUUGAAGUCAGUCGCGUCUUCAGAAAUUCAACUUGGCAUUUCUUUGCCUGGUGUACUUUUCUGUGGGACGGGCCAGCAUCAGUUUUGGCUGCCAGAAAAAGAUAAGAGGAAGGUAGCACCUCCGGGUGUGUUAUAGCCUCUUAUCGUAUGUGGUGGCCGGGACUG